UACGUAGGGUGCAAGCGUUGUCCGGAUUUAUUGGGCGUAAAGAGCUCGUAGGCGGUCUGUCGCGUCGGAUGUGAAAACCCAGGGCUCAACCCUGGGCCUGCAUUCGAUACGGGCAGACUAGAGUGUGGCAGGGGAGACUGGAAUUCCUGGUGUAGCGGUGAAAUGCGCAGAUAUCAGGAGGAACACCGGUGGCGAAGGCGGGUCUCUGGGCCAAUACUGACGCUGAGGAGCGAAAGCGUGGGGAGUGAACAGG
rnacentral:rRNA from 1 species